ACGACGACCGGAUUGGCGAGCCU
rnacentral:siRNA from 1 species